AGAGUUUGAUCCUGGCUCAGGACGAACGCUGGCGGCGUGCUUAACACAUGCAAGUCGAACGGAAAGGCCCCCACCUUGGUGGGGGUGCUCGAGUGGCGAACGGGUGAGUAACACGUGGGUGAUCUGCCCUGUACUUCGGGAUAAGCUUGGGAAACUGGGUCUAAUACCGGAUAGGACCAUGGUUUAGUGUCUCAUGGUGGAAAGAUUAUUGUUUUGGUGCAGGAUGAGCUCGCGGCCUAUCAGCUUGUUGGUGGGGUAAUGGCCUACCAAGGCGUCGACGGGUAGCCGGCCUGAGAGGGUGGACGGCCACAUUGGGACUGAGAUACGGCCCAGACUCCUACGGGAGGCAGCAGUGGGGAAUAUUGCACAAUGGGCGCAAGCCUGAUGCAGCGACGCCGCGUGGGGGAUGACGGCCUUCGGGUUGUAAACUCCUUUCGUUAGGGACGAAGCCACACCUUUUUUUGGGUGUGGUGACGGUACCUUUGUUAAGAAGCACCGGCUAACUACGUGCCAGCAGCCGCGGUAAUACGUAGGGUGCGAGCGUUGUCCGGAAUUACUGGGCGUAAAGAGCUCGUAGGUGGUUUGUUGCGUCGUCUGUGAAAUUCCGGGGCUUAACUUCGGGGUGGCAGGCGAUACGGGCAUAACUAGAGUGCUGUAGGGGAGACUGGAAUUCCUGGUGUAGCGGUGGAAUGCGCAGAUAUCAGGAGGAACACCGAUGGCGAAGGCAGGUCUCUGGGCAGUAACUGACGCUGAGGAGCGAAAGCAUGGGGAGCGAACAGGAUUAGAUACCCUGGUAGUCCAUGCUGUAAACGGUGGGCGUUAGGUGUGGGGACCGGUUUGGUUUCUGUGCCGUAGCUAACGCAUUAAGCGCCCCGCCUGGGGAGUACGGCCGCAAGGCUAAAACUCAAAGGAAUUGACGGGGGCCC
rnacentral:rRNA from 1 species